UACGGGGGGAGCAAGCGUUGUUCGGAUUUACUGGGCGUAAAGGGCGCGUAGGCGGCGUGGCAAGUCAGUUGUGAAAUCUCCGGGCUUAACUCGGAACGGUCAAGUGAUACUGUCGUGCUAGAGUACAGAAGAGGCAAGUGGAAUUCUCGGUGUAGCGGUGAAAUGCGUAGAUAUCGAGAGGAACACCUGCGGCGAAGGCGGGUUGCUGGGCUGAUACUGACGCUGAGGCGCGAAAGCCAGGGGAGCGAACGGG
rnacentral:rRNA from 1 species